CGAUUCUGGCUCAGAACGAACGCUGGCGGCAGGCCUAACACAUGCAAGUCGAGCGCGCCCUUCGGGGUGAGCGGCGGACGGGUUAGUAACGCGUGGGAACGUACCCUUUGGUAGGGAAUAGCCACUGGAAACGGUGAGUAAUACCCUAUGAGCCCUUCGGGGGAAAGAUUUAUCGCCAAAGGAUCGGCCCGCGUUAGAUUAGGUAGUUGGUGGGGUAAUGGCCUACCAAGCCUACGAUCUAUAGCUGGUUUUAGAGGAUGAUCAGCAACACUGGGACUGAGACACGGCCCAGACUCCUACGGGAGGCAGCAGUGGGGAAUCUUGGACAGUGGGGGCAACCCUGAAUCCAGCCAUGCCGCGUGAGUGAAGAAGGCCUUAGGGUCGUAAAGCUCUUUCGCCUGUGAAGAUAAUGACGGUAGCAGGUAAAGAAACCCCGGCUAACUCCGUGCCAGCAGCGGC
rnacentral:rRNA from 1 species